UUUGAGAUGGCCUCUCGCCCUAUUCAGUGUAACAGCUGUGGUAGUGGGUUUGGUCGCUCGCAUUUAAAUUGGAAGGGUAAUGGUGGACCGCACUUCUCCCUUAGUAGGACGUUGCGACCUGUCAAAUAAUAUCCUAAGUAUUUGGCUAAUUUGUCUGUUUUUAGGCAGUACUGAAAGGUAUUUCCUUUAACAGUUUUAGCCGUUUACAUACUGGAUAUAAUUGACAGUAACGAAUCAUGGUGUUGAGCCACUUACUUUGUAAGUGUCCUUUAUGGCUGUUUGCAAGUGGGUUGGUUAAUUAGUUUUAGUCGGAUUUUGGUCCGUCUAACUAUUCCGCCUACUGUUGGUAAACUGUUCCUUGGACAGUGCUUAUAACACCGGUCGGCAGCGAUUCAGGUUCAGGCUCUUAUCCGACCCGUCUUGAAACACGGACCAAGGAGUUUAGCGUGUACGCAAGUCAUUGGGUGUAUAAAACCCAAAGG
rnacentral:rRNA from 1 species